GAGGGUAAACCCUUUGAAGGGAUUAGGGCAUAGGGAUGAGCCCUUCAGAAUGGAACGCAGGGAGUAAACAGGUUGAUCACUAG